GCCCUCGUAGCUCAAUGGAUAGAGCACCCGCCUCCUAAGCGGUAGAUCGCGGUUCGAGUCCGUGCGGGGGUA
rnacentral:tRNA from 1 species